rnacentral:rRNA from 1 species
UACGUAGGGUGCAAGCGUUAAUCGGAAUUACUGGGCGUAAAGCGUGCGCAGGCGGUUUUGUAAGUCUGUCGUGAAAGCCCCGGGCUUAACCUGGGAAUUGCGAUGGAGACUGCAAGGCUUGAAUCUGGCAGAGGGGGGUAGAAUUCCACGUGUAGCAGUGAGAUGCGUAGAGAUGUGGAGGAAUACCGAUGGCGAAGGCAGCCCCCUGGGAUAACACUGACGCUCAU